AUUGAACGCUGGCGGCAUGCUUUACACAUGCAAGUCGAACGGCAGCGCGGGGGCAACCCUGGCGGCGAGUGGCGAACGGGUGAGUAAUGCAUCGGAACGUAUCCUGUAAUGGGGGAUAACGUAGCGAAAGUUACGCUAAUACCGCAUACGCUCGAGAGAGGAAAGUGGGGGAUCGCAAGACCUCACGUUAUAGGAGCGGCCGAUGUCCGAUUAGCUAGUUGGUGGGGUAAAGGCCUACCAAGGCGACGAUCGGUAGCUGGUCUGAGAGGAUGAUCAGCCACACUGGGACUGAGACACGGCCCAGACUCCUACGGGAGGCAGCAGUGGGGAAUUUUGGACAAUGGUCGAAAGCCUGAUCCAGCCAUGCCGCGUGCGGGAAGAAGGCCU
rnacentral:rRNA from 1 species